CACGUAGGGUGCGAGCGUUGUCCGGAUUUAUUGGGCGUAAAGAGCUCGUAGGCGGCUCAGUAAGUCGGGUGUGAAAGCCCCGAGCUCAACUCGGGGAGGCCACCCGAUACUGCUGUGGCUAGAGUCCGGUAGGGGAGCGUGGAAUUCCCGGUGUAGCGGUGAAAUGCGCAGAUAUCAGGAGGAACACCGAUGGCGAAGGCAGGUCUCUGGGCCGAUACUGACGCUGAGGAGCGAAAGCGUGGGGAGCGAACAGG
rnacentral:rRNA from 1 species